rnacentral:rRNA from 1 species
GACGAACGCUGGCGGCGUGCUUAACACAUGCAAGUCGAACGGAAAGGCCCUGCAUUUGUGGGGUGCUCGAGUGGCGAACGGGUGCGUAACACGUGAGUAACCUGCCCUUGACUUUGGGAUAACGUCAGGAAACUGGGGCUAAAACCGGAUAGGAGCUCCUGCUGCAUGGUGGGGGUUGGAAAGGUUCGGCGGUUGGGGAUGGACUCGAGGCUUAUGAGCUUGUUGGUGAGGUAGUGGCUUACAAAGGCUUUGAAGGGUAGCCGGCCUGAGAGGGUGACCGGCCACAUGGGGACUGAGAUACGGCCCAGACUCGUACGGGAGGCAGCAGUGGGGAAUAGUGCACAAUGGGCGGAAGCCUGAUGCAGGAACGCCGCCUGCGGGAUGAUGGCCUGCGGGUUGUAAACCGCUUUCGCCUGUGACGAAGCGUGAUUGACGGUAAUGGGUAAAUAAGCACCGGCUAACUACGUG